rnacentral:rRNA from 1 species
UACGUAGGGUGCAAGCGUUGUCCGGAAUUAUUGGGCGUAAAGAGCUCGUAGGCGGCCUGUCGCGUCGGAUGUGAAAAUCCAGGGCUCAACCCUGGACCUGCAUUCGAUACGGGCAGACUAGAGUUCGGUAGGGGAGACUGGAAUUCCUGGUGUAGCGGUGAAAUGCGCAGAUAUCAGGAGGAACACCGGUGGCGAAGGCGGGUCUCUGGGCCGAAACUGACGCUGAGGAGCGAAAGCGUGGGGAGCGAACAGG